GUCUACUUUCCACACAAUAUAGUGGGAGCAGUUGCCUCUCACUGACUUGCUUUCAGACAGCAAUUUCGUUACUAAAAGGAAUAGGUAUAGCAUAAGAGCCUGAAUAAACUAGAACUGCACAUGCGAUGUGCAACGAGCGUUGGCUAGAAUACUGA